rnacentral:rRNA from 1 species
AGGACGAACGCUGGCGGCGUGCCUAACACAUGCAAGUCGAGCGAAGCUGCUCUAAAACUUCGGUUUAAGGGUAGACUUAGCGGCGGACGGGUGAGUAACCCGUGGGUAAUCUACCUGGAAGCCUGGGAUAACAGUUCGAAAGGGCUGCUAAUACCGGAUGAAGCCAUUAGCGUAAGUUAAUGGUCAAAGCGUUAAGUAGCGUUUUCAGAUGAGCCCGCGUCCCAUUAGCUAGUUGGUAGGGUAAAGGCCUACCAAGGCGACGAUGGGUAGCCGGUCUGAGAGGAUGGUCGGCCACACUGGGACUGAGACACGGCCCAGACUCCUACGGGAGGCAGCAGUGGGGAAUUUUGCGCAAUGGGGGCAACCCUGACGCAGCGACGCCGCGUGAGUGAAGAAUGCCUUCGGGUUGUAAAGCUCUGUCUAGGGGGAAGAUAGUGACGGUACCCCUGGAGGAAGCCCCGGCUAACUACGUGCCAGCAGCCGCGGU